CUCCUGAUAGCUCAGUUGGUAGAGCGUUGGACUGUAAUUGUUAUAUCACUAUGUGAUCCACAGGUCGUGUGUUCGACUCACACUCAGGAGA
rnacentral:tRNA from 2 species